UACGGAGGGUGCAAGCGUUAUCCGGAUUCACUGGGUUUAAAGGGUACGUAGGCGGGCAGGUAAGUCAGUGGUGAAAUCUCCGAGCUUAACUCGGAAACUGCCGUUGAUACUAUUUGUCUUGAAUAUUGUGGAGGUAAGCGGAAUAUGUCAUGUAGCGGUGAAAUGCUUAGAUAUGACAUAGAACACCAAUUGCGAAGGCAGCUUACUACACAACGAUUGACGCUGAGGCACGAAAGCGUGGGGAGCAAACAGG
rnacentral:rRNA from 1 species